AGAAGAAGGACAGUGAGUGAGCGGACAGUUAGAGAAAGAACCAAUAAUUGGCAGCAGCGACAUGGAGGCAAGGAAUAUUCCUUGCAUGGAGGAAGGAAGUGAACCAGGAGUACUGCCGACGCCGGCGACGACGCUUCAUAAGAUUCGGAGAAGCAGGACAUUCCCCAUCCAUGGCCUUAUUUAAGAGAACUAAUCGAUGUUGUCGGCUGCAAGAAUGAUUCAUGGCGAAUGUGUUGCGUCUUGUGCCAACCUAAAAACCACGAGCUUCUGGCGUUCAAGAAUUCUCCGUCUAAUCUGAAAAAAACACAUACAGAAAGCACGUGAAUCACCUGGAGAGAUACAAAAACCUCACUGCACCUACUUUGAAGAGGAAGUCCACCUCAGAUGAAGGCCCAUCCAAGCAGCUUAAACUAUGGGAUACCAAGAGAGUGUCACAGAAAAGUGUGGAUGAAGCCAUCCUGAACUUUGUCAUUCAAGGUCUGCACCCUCUCAGUAUUGUCCAACAGCAGGGUUUUAAAACUCUUGUGCAUCACCUGCAACCGGAUGUGGUUGUAAUGUCCCAAGGCACCAUGAAAAACAAAGUUGAGAAAGCAACACUGGAAAUGAAGAACAAUCUGAAGGCUGCUAUGCGUGAGAUUGAGUUCAUUGCUACCACUACUGAUUGCUGGACAGCACACAGACAGAGUUUCCUCAGAGUCACAGCACACUGGAUAGAGCCUGAAACAAUGAACAGAUGCUCUGCUGCAUUAGCAUGUAAACAGCUCAAAGGGUCACACACAUUUUCUGCACUUGCUGGUGCCCUGAAUGGUAUUCACACAGAGUACAACAUCUGUGACAAGAUUGUGCGUACAACCACUGAUAAUGGCUCCAAUUUUAUCAAAGCUUUUCGAGUCUACGGAGAGCUGGAUGAAAAUCAUAACCAGAUUCCACUUGAGGAGACAAGGCCGAGUGAAUCAGCAGAAAGAGAGAACAGUGAAGGAGAGGAAGAGGAGGAAAACAUUGACCGUCUUGAGUUUGUUGAAGCAGGAACCUUGUUGGAAGAAGAUGAUGGCCUGGAAUACCAACUGCCAAAGCAUCGUCGCUGUGCCUGCCACCUUCUGAACCUGGUGUCAACAGUUGAUGUUUCAGAGGCAAAUUCCAACACCGUCUACAAGCGACUCUCUCGUUCAGCAUUUUCAAAGUGCUGGAGUCUAUGGAACAAAAGUGGAAGAUCCACUACAGCUGCUGAGAUAAUUGAAGAAAAAUGCAAACUCCAGCUCUUGAAGUCAAAUGAGACGAGGUGGAAUUCUCUAUUCCUGGCCGUGGAGAGGAUUGUGAGGAUCAUGAGAGAACAAGGAGAAGGAGCCAUUACAGCUGUGUGCAGUGUGCUAAAAAUUCCCAUAUUAGUAGCUUACAUUUUCACACCUUAGUGACUGUUAUUAAUUAGUAUUAACUCCAUCACGUGUGUGUGUGUGUGUGUGUGUGUGUGUGUGUGUGUGCAAAAUACAUAAGUCAUGUGUUACAUUUUUUACUAUUUGUAACCACUGAUAUGACACUGAUUCACUCCUGUUAAAAUUGCUUUUCUCGCAGAAUAUGCCAAGACAAUGAGCCCAUUUGCAAAGUAGGUUGAUGUUCUUCAGGGAGAGGCCAGUGUGCAGAUGGGAUGGCUGGUACCCACAAUAACACUUCUCAAGACUAAGCUACAGAACCAAGUUGUGUGUGCCUUUAGUGGAUGCUCUUCAAGCAGGACUUGAAAGGCGAUUCGGGCAGAUGCUUGCUGAUCCCGAGCUGAUUGCUGCUACCAUUCUUGUCCCCAAGUUCAGGACAUGCUGAACAAGUGACGACUACAUCCUAAAACUUGGCCUGGACUUCAUCAAAAGCCGUCUGAAGGAGCAACCUAUGGUGCAUCCAAGGGACACUUCCCAUUCUUCAGAGGAGGAUGACUUCUUUUCCCCCAUCAAGCAGGGAAAUGUUCAAGAAAACUCCAAGCAGCUCGAUUCCUACCUGGCGUGCCCAGAUGAUACCAUGGAUGUCCUGAAAUCUUUCCCAGCUGACUGCAACUUGUCACUGAAGCUCAACACACCCCAGCCUGCCUCAGCAGCCUGCAAGAGGCUUUUCAGCAUUGCAGGACUGAUUUUCAGACCCAAAAGGGCACGCCUUGAUUCAAAGAACUUUGAGAACCAGAUUCUGCUGAGGCUGAAUAAAAGAUUUUGGUAGUCCUGUAGAGAUGAGUGAAUUUCUCACAAAAGAAAAAAAGACUUGAUUAGACUUGAAGUUUCCAUGUUGAUCAUAAUGUUUCAAGUUCUGUUGCUGAAAUGGAAAUCUCAGUUUGCACAUUGCCAUAAAGUAAGGCAUCAAACUGCUAGUUUUUCUAUAUAAAGUGUUUAAAAGAUACACAUUCUGUUAAAAGUAAUUCAUGGUUCGGUAUGUACCUCUUACACUUGUGUUUAUAUACACCUGGCAUCAUUUCACAGUACUAUAACAGUGUAACAAGUUCUAUGGGUUCAUAUUCAUGCCAUGGUUACAUCUUUUAAUAUUCAAUCUGCAAAACAAAGGUGGAAGGGCAUGAAAGGUGCUGAGUAAGUUGGUCAAGGUCUGACAGAGAUUACUGUGUUGGUAUUUUCUAGUGCCCAUAUGAGAAAUGUGUAAUCCUCUGCACUGGACAUCUGUUGUAGAGAUAUCUGACAGAAGCAGUUGAUUGGUUUUAUUGUAAACAACACAGCAGAACAGGA